rnacentral:lncRNA from 1 species
GGAAGAUAAAAGAAAAAUUAUAAUAACAAGUCCUAACAACUCUAAUAGAUUUUUAAAUAAAUUAUAAGUAAAGAUUAGCAAGUAUAAUCAAACAUCAAUCAAAUUCAAUCAAAAUUACAAAAGAAUUAUAUAAGAAACACAAAGUAUUCUUAAAGAUUCUUUAAAGAAAUCAUAAAGAAAUAAUAUAGAAAUUCAAAAAUAUAUUAAAAUAGAAAUAUUAAUAAAAUAUUAAAAUAGAAAUUUUAAUUAAAUCCUAGUCAAAUCCUAAUCAAAUCCUAAAUAAACCUUAAUAAAAUCCUAGUCAAAUCUUAAACAAAUCCUAAUCAAAUCCUAAAAAAAUCUUAACCAAAUCUUAAUCAAAUCUUAAUCAAAUCCUAAAAAAAAUUUAACCAAAUCCUAAUCAAAUCCUAAUCAAAUCCUAAUCAAAUCCAAAAUAAAUCCUAAUCAAAUCCUAAAUAAAUCCUAACCAAACUCUAAUCAAAUCCUAACAAAUCAUAACCAAAUCCUAAUCAAAUCCUAAACAAAUCUUAAUCAAAUUCUAAGCAAACCUUAAUCAAAUCCUAAUCAAAUCUUAAACAAGUCCUAACCAAAUCUUAAUCAUAUCCUAAAUAAAACCUAACCAAAUCCUAAUCAAAUCCUAAUUGAAUCCUAAUCAAAUCCUAAAAAAACCUAAAUAAAUUUUAACUGAAUCCUAAUCAAAUUCUAAACAUAUCCUAACCAAAUUCUAAAUAAUUUCAAGUAAUUCUUAAAGUAGAUUUAAACCUCAAUAACUAAUGAAU